GGAGGAGAAGUCGUAACAAGGUUACCGUAGGUGAACCUGCGGUAGGAUCAUUG
rnacentral:rRNA from 1 species